AGCGAACGCUGGCGGCAGGCCUAACACAUGCAAGUCGAACGAACCUUUCGGGGUUAGUGGCGGACGGGUGAGUAACACGUGGGAACGUGCCUUUAGGUUCGGAAUAACUCAGGGAAACUUGUGCUAAUACCGAAUGUGCCCUUCCGGGGAAAGAUUUAUCGCCUGUAGAGCGGCCCGCGUCUGUUUAGCUAGUUGGUUGAGGUAAUGGCUCACCAAGGCGACGAUCAGGAGCUGGUCGGAGAGGAUGAUCAGCCACAUUGGGAAUGAGACACGGCCCAAACUCCUACGGGAGGGAGGAGUGGGGAAUCUUGCGCAAUGGGCGAAAGCCUGACGCAGCCAUGCCGCGUGAAUGAUGAAGGUCUUAGGAUUGUAAAAUUCUUUCACCGGGGACGAUAAUGACGGUACCCGGAGAAGAAGCCCCGGCUAACUUCGUG
rnacentral:rRNA from 1 species